GACGAACGCUGGCGGCGUGCUUAACACAUGCAAGUCGAACGGAGCGAAUGAAAGCUUGCUUUUAUAAGCUUAGUGGCAAACGGGUGAGUAACACGUAGACAACCUGCCGACAGGAUGGGGACAACAUUCCGAAAGGAAUGCUAAUACCGAAUGAAGUGCAGGGGAGGCAUCUCCCCUGCAUGAAAGAUGGCCUCUUUUUAUGCUAUCACCUGUUGAUGGGUCUGCGUCUGAUUAGCUGGUAGGUGAGGUAACGGCUCACCUAGGCGACGAUCAGUAGCCGGUCUGAGAGGAUGAACGGCCACAUUGGGACUGAGACACGGCCCAGACUCCUACGGGAGGCAGCAGUGGGGAAUCUUCCGCAAUGGGCGCAAGCCUGACGGAGCAACGCCGCGUGAGUGAAGAAGGUCUUCGGAUCGUAAAGCUCUGUUGAUGGGGACGAGCGUGCCG
rnacentral:rRNA from 1 species